rnacentral:rRNA from 1 species
UACGUAGGGUGCAAGCGUUGUCCGGAAUUAUUGGGCGUAAAGAGCUCGUAGGCGGUUUGUCGCGUCUGCCGUGAAAGUCCGGGGCUCAACUCCGGAUCUGCGGUGGGUACGGGCAGACUAGGGUGAUGUAGGGGAGACUGGAAUUCCUGGUGUAGCGGUGAAAUGCGCAGAUAUCAGGAGGAACACCGAUGGCGAAGGCAGGUCUCUGGGCAUUAACUGACGCUGAGGAGCGAAAGCAUGGGGAGCGAACAGG